rnacentral:rRNA from 1 species
UACGGAGGGUGCAAGCGUUAUCCGGAUUCACUGGGUUUAAAGGGUGCGUAGGUGGGCUAGUAAGUCCGUGGUGAAAUCUCUGAGCUUAACUCGGAAACUGCCGUGGAUACUAUCUGUCUUGAAUAUCGUGGAGGUUAGCGGAAUAUGUCAUGUAGCGGUGAAAUGCAUAGAGAUGACAUAGAACACCAAUUGCGAAGGCAGCUGGCUACACGGUAAUUGACACUGAGGCACGAAAGCGUGGGGAGCAAACAGG